GUAGGGAUACCCGCUGAACUUAAGCAUAUCAAU
rnacentral:rRNA from 1 species